rnacentral:rRNA from 1 species
CAGCCGCCGCGGUAAUACGUAGGUGGCAAGCGUUGUCCGGAAUUAUUGGGCGUAAAGCGCGCGCAGGUGGUUUAAUAAGUCUGAUGUGAAAGCCCACGGCUCAACCGUGGAGGGUCAUUGGAGACUGUUAAACUUGAGUGCAGGAGAGAAAAGUGGAAUUCCUAGUGUAGCGGUGAAAUGCGUAGAGACUAGGAGGAACACCAGUGGCGAAGGCGGCUUUUUGGCCUGUAACUGACACUGAGGCGCGAAAGCGUGGGGAGCAAACAGGAUUAGAUACCCGUGUAGUCCCUGUCUCUUAUAC